GACGAACGCUGGCGGCGUGCCUAAUACAUGCAAGUCGAACGCACUCUCGUUUAGAUUGAAGGAGCUUGCUCCUGAUUGAUAAACAUUUGAGUGAGUGGCGGACGGGUGAGUAACACGUGGGUAACCUGCCCUAAAGUGGGGGAUAACAUUUGGAAACAGAUGCUAAUACCGCAUAAAACCUAACACCGCAUGGUGUAGGGUUGAAAGAUGGUUUCGGCUAUCACUUUAGGAUGGACCCGCGGUGCAUUAGUUAGUUGGUGAGGUAAAGGCUCACCAAGACCGUGAUGCAUAGCCGACCUGAGAGGGUAAUCGGCCACACUGGGACUGAGACACGGCCCAGACUCCUACGGGAGGCAGCAGUAGGGAAUCUUCCACAAUGGACGAAAGUCUGAUGGAGCAACGCCGCGUGAGUGAAGAAGGUUUCGGAUCGUAAAACUCUGUUGUUGGAGAAGAAUGUAUCUGAUAGUAACUGAUCAGGUAGUGACGGGAUCCAACCAGAAAG
rnacentral:rRNA from 1 species